AGCCUCUUUACGGUGCUGCCUUGUGGAAUCUGGAUCAAGCAGCAUUGUACAGGGCUAUGA
ensembl:miRNA dre-mir-103 microRNA 103a-1